UUUCCGUAGGUGAACCUGCGGAAGGAUCAUUACAGAGUUCAUGCCCUCACGGGUUGAUCUCCCACCCUUGAAUAUUUAUACCUUAGUUGCCUUGGCAGGCCGUGGAAACACCAUGGGCUCCGGCUUAUGCGUGCCUGCCAGAGGAAACAAACUCUGUUUUUAGUGAUGUCUGAGUACUAUAUAAUAGUUAAAACUUUCAACAACGGAUCUCUUGGUUCUG
rnacentral:misc_RNA from 1 species